UACGUAGGGUCCAAGCGUUAUCCGGAAUCACUGGGCGUAAAGCGUGCGUAGGUGGCGUGUUAAGUGUGAUGUUAAAUCGUGUGGCUCAACCAUAUCGAUGUGUCGCAUACUGGCAUGCUAGAGGGAAGCAGAGGCAAGUGGAAUUUGUAGUGUAGCAGUGAAAUGCGUAGAUAUUACAAGGAACACCAAUGGCGAAGGCAGCUUGCUGGGCUUCUUCUGACACUGAGGUACGAAAAGCGUGGGGAGCGAACAGG
rnacentral:rRNA from 1 species